UCCAGAGAAUUUAGCAGAGAUGCUUUAGUGCCUUCGGGAACUCUGAGACAGGUGCUGCAUGGCUGUCGUCAGCUCGUGUUGUGAAAUGUUGGGUUAAGUCCCGNAACGAGCGCAACCCUUAUCCUUUGUUGCCAGCACGUAAUGGUGGGAACUCAAAGGAGACUGCCGGUGAUAAACCGGAGGAAGGUGGGGAUGACGUCAAGUCAUCAUGGCCCUUACGAGUAGGGCUACACACGUGCUACAAUGGCGCAUACAAAGAGAAGCGACCUCGCGAGAGCAAGCGGACCUCAUAAAGUGCGUCGUAGUCCGGAUUGGAGUCUGCAACUCGACUCCAUGAAGUCGGAAUCGCUAGUAAUCGUAAAUCAGAAUGUUACGGUGAAUACGUUCCCGGGCCUUGUACACACCGCCCGUCACACCAUGGGAGUGGGUUGCAAAAGAAGUAGAUAGCUUAACCUUCGGGAGGGCGUUUACCACUUUGUGAUUCAUGACUGGGGUGAAGUCGUAACAAGGUAAGCGUAGUGCU
rnacentral:rRNA from 1 species